CUCAUAAUUCGUCUUUUAAAUGGCGGCUGGAAUGAAUGAUUGGACGAGGUAAAUUCUGUCUCAUUAAAAUUAAAAUUUGAAUUUAAUUUUUUAGUUAAAAAGCUUAAAUAUUAUUAAAGGACGAGAAGACCCUAUAGAGCUUUAUAUUAUUAUUAUUAUUAAUUUUUAAUUUUAUUUUAUUAAUAAUAUAAUAUUUUGUUGGGGCGACAGGAAAAUUUAUUAAACUUUUUUAAAUUUAUUACAUUGAUUUAUGAAUUUUUGAUCCUAAAUUUUAGAUUAUUAGAUUAAGUUACCUUAGGGAUAACAGCGUUAUUUUUUUUAAAA
rnacentral:rRNA from 1 species